GCUAGGAUUACAGGCAUGAGUUUUGAGUACACUUAGUCACAUGUAGUAGCCACAUAAAGUUAGUAGCAAGAACGAGAUUGGAUCUGCAUUCUGUAGCACUGUGCCCAGCACCUCUAGUGCUCAUAACCUACUGAUUCUACAGUGACUGUAACUCCCCUCAGGGCUGUGGAUUUUCUGAAGCUUCAUUCUCCUUUGCUGCUGUCAAAUGCUGUGACCACAUCUCCUUGGGUUUUCCGGAUGUCCCAUUUAUGACUUUCUGACUCUAACCUCGCUCCCUCCCCCAUAGAUUAUUGCAGUAGCGCUAAACUCUACAUGGGUUGACGGGCAGCACAGCCAUAACAGGU